UACGUAGGGGGGCAAGCGUUGUCCGGAUUCAUUGGGCGUAAAGAGCUCGUAGGCGGUUCGGCAAGUCGGGUGUGAAAAACUCCAGGCUCAACCUGGAGACGCCACCCGAUACUGCUGUGACUUGAGUUCCGGUAGGGGACCACGGAAUUCCUGGUGUAGCGGUGAAAUGCGCAGAUAUCAGGAGGAACACCGGUGGCGAAGGCGGUGGUCUGGGCCGGCACUGACGCUGAGGAGCGAAAAGCGUGGGGAGCGAACAGG
rnacentral:rRNA from 1 species